GACAGGGGGUGCGAGCGUUUGUUCGGAAUUAUUGGGCGUAAAGGGUGCGUAGGUGGUUAAAUAAAUCACAGAUGAAAUAACGGGGCUCAACCCCGUUGCUGUUUGUGAUACUGUUUGGACUAGAGAAUGGGAGAGGUAAGUGGAAUUCCUAGUGGAGAGGUAAAAUUCUUUGAUAUUAGGAGGAACACCAAAUGCGAAGGCAACUUACUAGAACAUUUCUGACACUGAGGCACGAAAGCGUGGGGAGCAAACAGG
rnacentral:rRNA from 1 species